UUCCGGUUGAUCCUGCCAGAGGCCGCUGCUAUCCGGCUGGGACUAAGCCAUGCGAGUCUAGGGGCUUGUAUCCCUUCGGGGAUGCAAGCACCGGCGGACGGCUCAGUAACACGUGGACAACCUGCCCUCGGGUGGGGGAUAACCCCGGGAAACUGGGGCUAAUCCCCCAUAGGGGAUGGGUACUGGAAUGUCCCAUCUCCGAAAGCGCUUAGCGCCCGAAGAUGGGUCUGCGGCGGAUUAGGUUGUUGGUGGGGUAACGGCCCACCAAGCCGAANAUCCGUACGGGCUGUGGGAGCAGGAGCCCGGAGAUGGACCCUGAGACACGGGUCCAGGCCCUACGGGGCGCAGCAGGCGCGAAGCCUCCGCAAUGCGGGAAACCGCGACGGGGUCAGCCGGAGUGCUCGCGCAUCGCGCGGGCUGUCGGGGUGCCUAAAAAGCACCCCAUAGCAAGGGCCGGGCAAGGCCGGUGGCAGCCGCCGCGGUAAUACCGGCGGCCCGAGUGGCGGCCACUUUUAUUAGGCCUAAAGCGUCCGUAGCCGGGCUGGUAAGUCCUCCGGGAAAUCUGGUCGCUUAACGAUCAGACUGCCGGAGGAUACUGCCAGCCUAGGGACCGGGAGAGGCCGGGGGUAUUCCCGGAGUAGGGGUGAAAUCCCGUAAUCCCGGGAGGACCACCUGUGGCGAAGGCGCCCGGCUGGAACGGGUCCGACGGUGAGGGACGAAGGCCAGGGGAGCGAACCGGAUUAGAUACCCGGGUAGUCCUGGCUGUAAACGAUGCGGACUAGGUGUCACCGAAGCUACGAGCUUCGGUGGUGCCGGAGGGAAGCCGUUAAGUCCGCCGCCUGGGGAGUACGGCCGCAAGGCUGAAACUUAAAGGAAUUGGCGGGGGAGCACUACAACGGGUGGAGCCUGCGGUUUAAUUGGAGUCAACGCCGGG
rnacentral:rRNA from 1 species